rnacentral:lncRNA from 1 species
AUGGCCAUCUGUCAGGAGUGUUUGGAUUGUGUGGUCUUGCAUGGUAGAAGGAGGUUGUACUGGGUGAUUCUUAGGGUUGUUUGGAAACAUGAGGAUUCUGUGAUAUUGUUAUUAGUAUUAUUAUUAUCAAGAGGCUGUAUGGCCAUCUGUUGGGAAUGUUUGGAUUGUGUUCUCGAUGGCAGGAAGGGGUUGGACUGGAUGGGCUUUAGGGGUCUCUCCUAUCUCUGUGACUGUAGGAUUCCAUGAUAUUGUUAUUAGUAUUAUUAUUAUCAAGAGGCUGUAUGGCCAUCUGUUGGGAAUGUUUGGAUUGUGUUCUCGAUGGCAGGAAGGGGUUGGACUGGAUGGGCUUUAGGGGUCUGUCCUAUCUCUGUGACUGUAGGAUUUUAUUAUAAUUUUAAUGGUGGAGAUUGGGGAGAUAUUGGAUGGCCAUCUGUCAGGAGUGUUUGGAUUGUGUGGUCUUGCAUGGUAGAAGGAGGUUGUACUGGAUGAUUCUUAGGGGUGUCUGCAAACAUUAGGAUUCCAUGAUAUUGUUAUUAGAANNNNNNNNNNNNNNNNNNNNNNNNNNNNNNNNNNNNNNNNNNNNNNNNNNNNNNNNNNNNNNNNNNNNNNNNNNNNNNNNNNNNNNNNNNNNNNNNNNNNNNNNNNNNNNNNNNNNNNNNGAGAUAUUGGCUGGCCAUGGUUGAUGGGCGGCGCUAGGACCCAUGGGACAGCUUUUUCCCAUUGCCUGCCUUCCCUCUGGCGGCGGCCAUUAUGCUUUCUCUUUCCCUCCCUCCCAGCAUGGCUCCCGAUAGUGCGUUGUGGGUUCUGUCCAUGUGGAGGUGCGUGAAGUGUUUUUGUGUUGUUUCAACCUUAAUGCGUGGAUGAUGGGUUGUGUUGUCAAAUUUCGAGGUUGGGGGGCCUUUACUUUUGUUGUUUUGCUCGUUGCCGCGAUUCCAUCACCCUUUUAUAUAUAUAGAUAUCACCAUCUGUAAGAUAAUAUUUGAAUUGUCCUGCCUUGCCCAUCUCAGUAUCUCACUAAAUAUUUUUUUAAAAUAAUUUUUAUUGAGAGGUUUCCGAGCAACUUCAUACAUUUCUUAUAAUAACAAAGAUUCUCAUUUCUCGAUACAAUAAAACACAUGUAAGACAACAAGGGUAACUGAGGGAAAGGGGUGAGGAGGAAAAUGAGGUAUCAAUACACAAGUUGAAAAAAAGGGGAUUAAAAAAACAACAAAAAACAAAAAAAAACAACAACCACAACGCAAAAACAACCACACACAAAAAAACUUACAUGUAAUCAGUUGCUAUAUAUAUCCUGUUACUUCCAGAGCUCCGGGUGUGGUCCUUUUGAUUUUCUUUUAGUCAUUUAUUUUUAUUUUUGAAGUUAAACAAGUUUAACUAUCUUUACUUUAUACUAUUAUCCGAGGGAAUUUCUUUAGUCCAUCCUUAUAUAAACAUUUAUUUUUUCUUUUUGUAAAAAUUCCUUCAUGGGUUUCCAAUCCGUUUUAUUCGAUGUUCUUUCCUGGGCUAGUUUUUGUGUUAAUAAGUCCAUAUUCAUCAUAUCCAUUACUUUAUUGAGCCAUUUCUCCAUGCUAGGUACUUCCUUUGUUUUCCAUACUUGUGCAAGCACUAUUCUCGCCGCCAUGGUGAGGAAAAAUACUAUUCUAUCGGUGUUUUUGCCUAUUUGCCAGUAAUUCCUAAUAGGAAGCAUUCUGGCUUAAACUCAAUUUCUUUUUGUAGGAUUUUUGUCAUUUUUUAAUAUAUUUCUCGCCAAAUUUCUUGAUUUUCUUACAUUCUCACCACAUGUGUAUAAAAGUCCUGGUGUGCUUUCCACAUUUCCAACAGUUUCCACUGUUUUUUCCUCUAUUGAAUCUAGCAAGUUUAUUUGGUGUCAAAUACCACAUGUGGAACAUUUUGAACCAGUUCUCCUUUAUUUCUGUAGCAUAGGCCCACCUCAGCUUUUUUCCCCAUAUUUCGUCCCAUGGACCUAGAUAAAUUGUGUGUCCUAUCGCUUCGGCCCAUUUUAUCGUUACUUCUUUUAUUUGAUCUUUCUCUUGAGCCCAGGUAAGUAAUUGUUUGUAUAAUAUUCUUAUUUGUUUGGUGUUAAUUUUCAGUAUUUUGUCCCAAUGUUUUUUCUAAAUAUUAACAUAAUUUAAUAGUAGCCUAACCAUCUCCCAGAAUUUGAUUUCUGUAAGUCCAGAGAUGAUUAGGUAAGGCAUUCAAACAUACAUCUCUGAAACCUGCAGCUGCAAGACUAGAAAUACUGUAGUGCUAUUAUUCAACUCUGAUGAUAAAUGAUCCCCUUAAAGAGAUUCCUGACUGUUCUGUUUUUAGAAAGAAUCCUCUUUUCAUGCAGUCCUCUCAUAUGUAGAUGAUGAUCAUAAUGUAUAUGAUGAUAACAUUGAUGAUUAACAACUUUAUGACAUGCUUCCCCUUCUCUCAAGCAUUGGGGCUCAAGGUAAUUUGCAAAUUAAGUCAUUUGCAACAUAACUAACACAUACAAAAGAUUAACAUUAAAUGUAAUCAAACUGUCAAUGACAUUAAAAACAAUUUAAAACACACAAUUAGAAAUAAUGAAUAAUGAAAUAAUAAGUCACGAUUAAAAAUACAAUCAAAAGCAGCAACCUGUUAAAACAAUUUUUCAAACUUAGAAUAUUUUUUUAAAUCUUUUAACUACUUAGAAGUAUACAUCUUUGACAGAAAAAGGAAGCCCUGCUAAACCAAGAAGCAGCUACCACGAAGACCCUGGCUUGCCUCCUCCCCAGAUUUGUAUGAGAUCAGAUUUAUUAAACCAGUUAUUCUUGUUGCUUUGAGAGCUGGAUUAUAUAUAGUUCUUCUUAUGCUCAAGUCUGACUAUCUAGCCAGCACUGAUAUUUAUGCCCUUUCCAAGCUGCAUAAUAUUCCUGCAAAGACUUUUAUGUUUGACAUGAAAUUACUAGAUAAUCUUGUGUCUGUCAGGGGAGGAGAGGCUGAUGUAGACUGGAAAACAUAAUUUCCCAGACCAAGAAUGUUUAAACUGGUG